rnacentral:rRNA from 1 species
GACGAACGCUGGCGGCGUGCUUAACACAUGCAAGUCGAACGGUAAGGCCCUUCGGGGUACACGAGUGGCGAACGGGUGAGUAACACGUGGGUGAUCUGCCCUGCACUUCGGGAUAAGCCUGGGAAACUGGGUCUAAUACCGGAUAGGACCCUGGGAUGCAUGUCCUGGGGUGGGAAGCUUUUGCGGUGUGGGACGGGCCCGCGGCCUAUCAGCUUGUUGGUGGGGUGAUGGCCUACCAAGGCGACGACGGGUAGCCGGCCUGAGAGGGUGACCGGCCACACUGGGACUGAGAUACGGCCAGACUCCUACGGGAGGCAGCAGUGGGGAAUAUUGCACAAUGGGCGCAAGCCUGAUGCAGCGACGCCGCGUGAGGGAUGACGGCCUUCGGGUUGUAAACCUCUUUCAGCACCGACGAAGCGCAAGUGACGGUAGGUGCAGAAGAAGGACCGGCCAACUACGUGCCAGCCGCCGCAGUAA